rnacentral:rRNA from 1 species
AUGACUUGGUGUGGUUGUYGCUGGCCCUCUUGGGGGCAUGUGCACACCUACCAUCCUCAUCUCUCCACCUGUGCACCUCUUGUAGAUUUGGAAUUGAUUAUCCGAGGCAACUCGGUCGUGAAGACUGCUAGCACUUAGCUGGCUUUCUUUGCAAUUCCAGGUCUAUGUUUUUCAUAUACCCCAUUGUAUGUAACAGAAUGUAUCAUUAGGCCCUUGUGCCUAUAAACCUUAUACAACUUUCAGCAACGGAUCUCUUGGCUCUCGCAUCGAUGAAGAACGCAGCGAAAUGCGAUAAGUAAUGUGAAUUGCAGAAUUCAGUGAAUCAUCGAAUCUUUGAACGCACCUUGCGCUCCUUGGUAUUCCGAGGAGCAUGCCUGUUUGAGUGUCAUUAAAUUCUCAACCAUUAUUAGCUUUUGCUGAUAAUGGCUUGGAUGUGGGGGUCUAUUUUGCUGGCUUCUCAGAUAGUCAGCUCCCCUUAAAUGCAUUAGCCGGUGCCCCGCGUGGACUGUCUAUUGGUGUGAUAAUUAUCUACGCUAUAGACAUCUGCAAUCAUAUGGGUUUGCGCUGCUUCUAACAGUCUGUUGAUUCAGACAAUACAUGACAAUUUGACCUCAAAUCAGGUAGGACUACCCGCUGAACUUAAGCAUAUCAAUA